UUGACCUCGAAUCAGGUAGGAAUACCCGCUGAACUUAAGCAUAUCAAUAAGCGGAGGAAAAGAAACCAACCGGGAUUACCUCAGUAACGGCGAGUGAAGCGGUAACAGCUCAAAUUUGAAAUCUGGCUCCCUUGGAGUCCGAGUUGUAAUUUGUAGAAGAUGCUUUGGGUUGUGGGUUCGGCCUAAGUUCCUUGGAACAGGACGUCAUAGAGGGUGAGAAUCCCGUACGUGGCCGAGGCCUGCGCCUAUGUAAAGCUCUUUCGACGAGUCGAGUUGUUUGGGAAUGCAGCUCAAAAUGGGUGGUAAAUUUCAUCUAAAGCUAAAUAUGGGCCAGAGACCGAUAGCGCACAAGUAGAGUGAUCGAAAGAUGAAAAGCACUUUGGAAAGAGAGUUAAACAGUACGUGAAAUUGUUGAAAGGGAAGCGCUUGCAACCAGACUUGGGCGCUGCCGAUCACCCUGAGUUCUCUCAGGUGCACUCGACAGCGCACAGGCCAGCAUCGGUUCGGGUGGCUGGAUAAAGGCCGUAGGAACGUAGCUCCUCUCGGGGAGUGUUAUAGCCUACGGUGCCAUGCAGCCCAGCCGGACCGAGGACCGCGCCUUCGGGCUAGGAUGCUGGCGUAAUGGUUGUAAGCGACCCGUCUUGAAACACGGACCAAGGAGUCUAACAUCUAUGCGAGUGUUUGGGCGUUAAACCCAUACGCGGAAUGAAAGUGAACGUAGGUGAGAACCCCUUUGGGG
rnacentral:rRNA from 1 species